rnacentral:lncRNA from 1 species
AUAAAACCUAAAAAAAUGAGGAACCCAGUUUUUCAUAAAACAGGUUACCCCCUCUAUGUAAAACACUGUUUUGCAAAAGCUCACGGACAGCAAACAGCCGAUAAAGUGGGUUUAAGCUAGAUUUAGCGAAUUUUCGUUGCAAUUCCACUUGAAAUAAAUUUUGCCAUAACACUAUUUUUCUGAAGAUGUGCUUUGCUUUUCAGUUUGUCUUUCUUGGCAUGUCUUAUGAUUAGUAGCCUGAAGUGCACAUGUUUUUAGGUGCAAUAAUUGACAAAUGAUUAUCUUAAAAAAUUUAGAGAUCAAACACAUAAUUUAUUGAUGACUAUCUGCUUAUUUGGUGGUUCUAUUUCAAGCAAUACAUGAAGAAGGAUUAAGAUGUGACAAAAUAAACUAGAUAUAACUCAAUAGUGAUAUAUUAAAGUCAUGGAAAAGGAAACUUGAUGAGAGGAAUCCUAAAAAUGUGAACAGCCAUUCACAGGAGCAAGAUUUCAGAGAUGGCUUCUGCUCUCCAGGUUGAAUAUUCUAGCUAUUAGGGAGUUAUUAAUGUAAUGUAUGAUGAAUAACGAGCAAAAUGCAUGGAUUCUUUCAUUUUCUUUGUUCUCUUAAUAUACUUAUGACAGGUUUUAUUGAUCUUAGUUUGCAUGUUAAAUAAUAUAUAUCUAGUUGUCCAAACCAAACUGCUGUGAAAAAGGUGCGCAUGAG